AAAAAUCCGACAGAGACUCUGUCACAGUUUUCGACUUGGAUUCGGUGGAUUCGGAUUCGACUGCUGCCCACACAUGGCAAAAUGUUUUUCACUGGAUUUGCAUAGUUCGUACAAGCCAAGUCAAGUGAUCGCGGCUGCUGUAGUAAAAAAAAAAAAAGGCACCAAAUCGUUAAAGAUUCAAAGCUUUUAGCCCGAGAAUUGCCAGACCGGUUUGCCGGUUAUGAAACUGUUUCAGCUGUGUGUUUUUGUGUCUUUUUUUCGAGUUUUGGUAAAGUUUUAUGAAUGGAAGAGCGUAAAAUUUGCAUCUAAAACACGUGAAGCACCACUCGAGAUUACUCAUACGCCCCGGUGGACUUAGGCCAAGAAAUAGCGAUUCAGUGUUCCUGUGGAAUUGGCUGAUGCCACUGUGAAUCAACAUUUUGCUGACAGUUUCGAGUGCUGCCAAGCUCAGAGCGAUAAAUAAUGUAUCCAUAGAAAUGCAAACACAUCUAAUGCUUUAAGCACUUGUCAAACUUUGCACCCACCGUUCCAUUGAACUAUCCCCACAAUAAGGCGCCAAUUAUGUCGGUGGCGAAAUGAUACCUCAACCCAACUGAUCACCCUGAUCUAUCUGCCUUCGCUCCGCCUUUCCAAACAAAAAAGCCCCAAGACGAGGUCAAACCCAAGCUGUGCAAUCGACCAACUGCCUGACCAACUGACUGACUGACUGAAUGACGGCCACGAUCUGGACGAUCGACGUUAGACAGGCAAUUUGUAGACUUUUAAAAUAGUUUCAAACUAUUCAGCCCGCCAACCAGCCAGCCAGCAGGCAAUCCACCAGACAACCUGUGCGCUGUCCGAUCGCCAAAAACGAUUGACCACAGAAAACAAAACAAUAAGGAUUCGGUUUUUGGCAAGUCGAAGGUUUUCAUACACUUCCCUGGGAUGUUCUUUUUAAAGAAACCGAGUUAUAUAUUCUGUAAAUUUAUUAUAUUGCAGAGAAAUCGAAACCUAAAUCAUUACUUUCGAUUGAUAAGACGAAAUGGAGAAAUCCAAAGCUAAAUCAUUAUUUUCGAAUGCUAAGGCGGAAUUUGUAAAAUACCAUAUCGAUUCUUGAUUCUGUAUGAGAGAGCUUCUUAUCAAGUGAAAGAUAUUAGUAACAACUAUGCAAUAUAUAUCCUUAAAUUUUCUGUUUCUACCAUCAAAAGCAAGCUGCGACUUUAGGCCAACAUUCCCAAAAGAAGCCAAUUGGAAAGCCAAAUAGCUCAGAGUAAUUAAGCCAAACAUUUGUAAAAAGCGAAUAGAUUGCAAAAUAAACUUUUACCUUUAAAAGGGAAACACACAGAAUAAUUAUUUACAUUUUUCCAAUUUAAUAAAUCUCAUUUGGUCUCCACUAUCUGGUAGAUACUAUUGAAUUCUAUUACAAACUUGAUAACUUAUCUUAUAUACCCAAUGAAAGAGCAGAAAAGCGCAUGCAAAUUAAUAGCCAACUGUGGCCGAAAAAUUAAUUGAUCACUCGAGACAGGUAACAUUGCUGAGAUUGCGGACCGGACCAGACUUAUAGACCCGACAAUCGAUCGAUCGACGCGAAUUAAGUUUGGUGCUGGUGGUAAGUGCCCGCAUGCUCUCCGGCUGAUCACAGACUUCCUGAGGUAGCCGUCUCGAUUUGGCUGGUGAAAUGUGGUCUGAUUUCCAUGGCUGCAUGAACAAAUUUCAAUUAACAUAUUCACGCAAUAAUUGCAGGGGUCUCCAAGCGGCCCACGUCUCUAGUGGCCAGCGAAUAGGCAAAUAAAAAAGACACCCACGUCCGCCGUAUCCCGAAUCCCCGGCAGACACGUGUCAAACUUCCGAUCAUUAGGAGGAGAAGGGGGCUCAUCGCACCACGCCCACUCGCACUGCUGCAGGGGCCCUAAUUAAUAAACAGACAAAACAAUUUUAAUUUUAUGGCCCUCGCAGAUGAAAAGCCCUCGAAUUGAUAAAUUAUCGAAAUGCAGUUUAGACAAAAAGAUAUUGAGAUUGAUCAUUGGACCAGCAGGCCGCUCGUCAUCAUGCUAUCGGAUGCGUUGGCGAUCCUCCGCGGUAAUGCCGCCUAAUUAAUGGUUGCCACGCUCGGAAAGAAUGGAUGGAAAUCUAAAGUGUAUAAUCCAGUAGGUCACUGGAAAGUAAAAACAAUAUAGACAAAAGCCAGAGCAUGAUGAAAUAUUUGACAAUUUGAUACGCUGGCAUUAGCUGCUAGAACUUAUUGCAUGCUAAAUCAAACAGUGAAAACAGAAGAGCUUAUCAAAUCUCUAAAUGCCAACAGCUAAACUCUAGACAAAGUUAUAAAAUAUCGUAAUGGUUUGGUAAUACUUUAAUGAUGCCUUUAAAUUAAUUGACAGCAUCAACAUAAAUAACACAA